CCUACGGGAGGCAGCAGUGGGGGAUAUUGCACAAUGGGGGAAACCCUGAUGCAGCGACGCCGCGUGGGCGAAGAAGUAUUUCGGUAUGUAAAGCCCUAUCAGCAGGGAAGAAGAAAUGACGGUACUGGAGUAAGAAGCACCGGCUACAUAGGUGCCGGCAGCCGCGGUACUACGUAGGGUGCAAGCGUUAUCCGGAUGUACGGGGUGUAAAGGGAGCGCAGGCGGCACGGCAAGCCUGAUGUGAAAGCCCGCGGUCCAAGGGCGGAACUGCAUUGGGUACUACCGGGCUGGAGUGCCGGAGAGGUAGGAGGAAUGCCUAGUGUAGCGGUGAAAUGCGUAGAUAUUA
rnacentral:rRNA from 1 species